rnacentral:rRNA from 1 species
CCCUUAGAUGUUCUGGGCCGCACGCACGCUACACUGAAGGGAUCAGCGUGUUUUCCCUUUCCGAGAGGAACGGGUAACCCGCUGAACCCCCUUCGUGGUAGGGAUCGGAGCUUGCAAUUGUUCUCCGUGAACCAGGAAUUCCCAGUAAGCGCAAGUCAUAAGCUUGCGUUGAUUACGUCCCUGCCCUUUGUACACACCGCCCGUCGCUACUACCGAUUGAACGUUUUAGUGAGGUAUUUGGACUGGGCCUUGGGAGGUUUCGGCCUCCCUUGUUGCUCGGAAAGACUCCCAAACUUGAGCGUUUAGAGGAAGUAAAAGUCGUAACA